AUCAACUAGACCCGGUAAAUUACCAGGUGUGAAAAAAGGUGUUAGCCUUGGGGUUUAAGUCACAGAGCUAUUCAAUUAGAGCUGUUGUUUCUCACAGAAAUUAUUCUAUAUAUUAUUAUUUUUUUUUGGGGGGGGGGUGUUACUUUGACUGUUAUUCAUAAUUUACAGUUUGUUUACACUAUGAUUACCAUGGCAACCUCAGCCAUAAGCCAUUUGUACACAAAGCCCCGCCCCCUCUGCCAUAACUGCCAACAGAGAUGCUGUGUAACUGUCAGGCGCAGACUGUCGCUUACACUCUCUUGGGGACAAGGGUCAUUUUGGGGUUGUUGUUUUUUUAGCAAAAAUAUGUUUUUCUACAGUGGCUGCCAUAUUGCUGUUCCCCAACAGUGCAAUAUUACAGAAGAAAAACAGAGUUAUCGGAAGGUAUACUGGAACGAAGACAAUCAGCUUCUGCUUUAUAUUAAAAAGGUGACCGUCUGUGACUAUUUAAGAACUUUUCUCCAGGCAGAAAAUCUGAAGAUCGCAGCAAACAUAGAAUACUGCAAUGAAGGUAAUGCCAAAUUUCGGAAGGCCGUCAUGAAACCUCCAAUGACUUGAGUACUGCUGUACCUAUGAGAGAAGAGACAUGUGCCUGCGAAGCCGCAAUCUCCUUUCUAGCCUGGUAGAAAAUGGGGUGUCAUGCUGCAAAGAGCUUCUGAUCUGCACAAACACGCACAUAAAAGACUAACGUUUGGCCUACGAUGAAAACGACAUCGGCGGAGCAUUCAUUGUCAGUUAAUCACACACAGAUUGCUGGUGCUGAAGCCCAUAAUUAUCUUUAUCUAAUAUUUCAACUCGCCCCUGACCACACAAAUAAUACCAUCUUUUGUAGAGGCGUAUUUGUUUGUGUUCCGGUCGGAGUUUGUUUUUAACAAAAAUGCAAUAAAGCCCGUGCAGUACUCAGCCUGCCUUAGAACACUCUCUGUCCUAUCAUUCCGGAACAAGAAGGCCAAAGCAACAGAACGGCAUACACCCAUUUUUCUGACUACACACAGAGUGAAGUACGGCAGCUUACGCUAUGAAAAUUAGUGUAGCCCUCGCUCCACAUCUGCUCCAAAAUGCCUGCAGAUUACAAUAAACAGAAGAGCCUAUUGGAACUACUUGCAAGAGUGGAAACCGUUUCUGUACCAAACCACAAGAUACACAGCAAAGUCGAUAUAAAAGCCAACAUUGAACUGGACUGUUGAAUACAUCAAGCCACUUAUGAAGGUUCAGGAUGCCAGCUUGCAGAAGGGCCCAGAUUUUAUGAAGACAGAAAUUUUCAACUGUUGCAGGGGUAAGUGUUCAAUAGAAGGCUGGGGAUUGCAUCUCCCUCCAACAAUUGUAGGUCCUUUAAAUGUAGAGGUUGCAACCAUCAUGACAAACACCGCUCAGGAUCUUAUUGCGAUUGCAAUUUUUUACUACUAACAAAAUCUUUAAUGCAU